CCAAUUUUAGCGAACCUGAUCCCUUUGGAUUAUGGUCUCGCAAAAAUACUGUAUUUAAAACCCCACUCUUCAUAUAAAAUGAAUCUAUUUAUAUAUAAUAAAUAAAGA
rnacentral:misc_RNA from 1 species